AUACUUACCUGGCAGGGGAGACUAUGAUCAAGAAGGUGGUUCACCUCCAGGCGCAGGCUCAGCUAUUGCACUGCCAGGUGCUGACCCCGCGAAUUUCUAAAUGGGAAUCUCGACCGCACACUUUCUGAUAGUGGGGACUGGCGCUUCAGCCUCCCUG